rnacentral:Y_RNA from 1 species
GGCUGGUCCAAGUGCAGUGGUGUUUACAACUAAUUGGUCAGAGCCAGUUAUAGAUUCCUUUGUUCCUUCUCCACUCCCACUGCUUCACUUGACUAGCCUUAU